rnacentral:rRNA from 1 species
GACGAACGCGGCGGCGUGCUUAACACAUGCAAGUCGAACGGAGCGAUUUAUUUCGGUAAAUCGCUUAGUGGCAAACGGGUGAGUAAUGCGUAGGCAACCUGCCCUCAGGAUGGGGACAACGGCUCGAAAGAGCCGCUAAUACCGAAUAACGUAGCUCUUCCACAUGGAAGAGAUACUAAAGAUGGGUCAAACCAUCGCCUAAGGAUGGGCCUGCGUCUGAUUAGCCAGUUGGUGAGGUAACGGCUCACCAAAGCGACGAUCAGUAGCCGGUCUGAGAGGAUGAACGGCCACAAUGGGACUGAGACACGGCCCAUACUCCUACGGGAGGCAGCAGUGGGGAAUCUUCCGCAAUGGGCGAAAGCCUGACGGAGCAACGCCGCGUGAGUGAAGAAGGUCUUCGGAUCGUAAAGCUCUGUUGUCGGGGACGAAAGGGUAGACGAGGUAAUGCGUUAAUAAG